AGUGAACGCUGGCGGUAGGCCUAACACAUGCAAGUCGAACGGCAGCGCAGUAAGAGCUUGCUCUUACGGGUGGCGAGUGGCGGACGGGUGAGGAAUACAUCGGAAUCUACUUUUUCGUGGGGGAUAACGUAGGGAAACUUACGCUAAUACCGCAUACGACCUACGGGUGAAAGCAGGGGAUCUUCGGACCUUGCGCGAUUGAAUGAGCCGAUGUCGGAUUAGCUAGUUGGCGGGGUAAAGGCCCACCAAGGCGACGAUCCGUAGCUGGUCUGAGAGGAUGAUCAGACACACUGGAACUGAGACACGGUCCAGACUCCUACGGGAGGCGGCAGUGGGGAAUAUUGGACAAUGGGCGCAAGCCUGAUCCAGCCAUACCGCGUGGGUGAAGAAGGCAUUCGGGUUGUAAAGCCCUUUUGUUGGGAAAGAAAAGCAGCAGGUUAAUAACCCGCUGUUAUGACGGUACCCAAAGAAUAAGCACCGGCUAACUUCGUG
rnacentral:rRNA from 1 species